UAGCUCGUAUCGCCCCCUCUCCCCUCCCCGCCUUUGGCGCGCGGGCCCUCCGCGCUCGCUCUGCGCACGCGCCACUCUGUGGUCAAGCGGCUUUCCCGGGGGCCGCGGAGGACGCCGCGGGACCGGCCGGACCUGGAGGUCACUGGCAAGCGUGGGACAAGAACUGAACGAUGACUUGCUGCGGGCCCAGGCGCAGAGAGAAGCAGCAAAUCCUCCUGGGAGAGUUUCUGUGAGGGAAAACCGU